AGAAGUUUAGGUUAAACAGACCAAGAGCCUUCAAAGCUCUAAGCAAACCAUAUCGGUUUAACUUCUG
rnacentral:tRNA from 1 species